rnacentral:rRNA from 1 species
AUUGAACGCUGGCGGCAGGCCUAACACAUGCAAGUCGAACGAGUGGCGGACGGGUGAGUAAUGUCUGGGAACCUGCCUGAUGGAGGGGGAUAACUACUGGAAACGGUAGCUAAUACCGCAUACCAUUAGAUCUGCCCAUAUGGGAUUAGCUUGUGGGUGGGGUACAGGCUCACCAAGGCGACGAUCCCUAGCUGGUCUGAGAGGAUGACCAGCCACACUGGAACUGAGACACGGCCCAGACUCCUACGGGAGGCAGCAGUGGGGAAUAUUGCACAAUGGGCGAAAGCCUGAUGCAGCCAUGCCGCGUGUAUGAAGAAGGCCUUCGGGUUGUAAAGUACUUUUAGCGGGGAAGCGUUACCCGCAGAAGAAGCACCGGCUAACUACGUGCCAGCAGCCGCGGUAAUAC